rnacentral:lncRNA from 1 species
UUUGUGUAAAAUGUCUCUUGAGUAACCAGGAGUGUGCUUGAAUCUUAAGCACAGCAUUUUGGAACUGUGACUGACGGAACUUGCACUUGCUAUUUUGUAUAUAUCACUGGCAGUCAAAAUUUUUGUUUGAAGGCAAAAUAUUUUCAAAUAUGACAAAAUUAUCUAAAAUAAUAGUUCUUAAUUAGUUUCUAGACAAUAUAUUUUCUCAAUAUUUUUAAAGCUGUGCACCCAUAUUUAAUAUUUAUUUCUUAAAUCAUGGUCUCCCUUCAGGUUUGUCUUACUAGGGUAGAAUACCCAAGGCAAUGCUGAAAGUAAAAAUGAAAUCUUUAGUUUUCAGUUAUGAACUGAAAGCCUAAAAUGGGACCAUCCUACUUAUAUAGUCUAUGAUAAUAGCCUCAUGGUGGGUGAGUGUAGUCACAGCAGGAGGCUGUUAUCAUAGACUAUAUGAAUCAAGAAAUUGUAACUUGAGACAGGAAGGCUAAGAGUAAGUCAAGUGUCAGGUUGGCUCUUACAGUUAACACUCAAGGGAAGUAAACAAGGACACCAUGAGAAUCUCUUUAAUCUUUGCCAAAGGCAGCAACCUCAGUGAAUAGUCUCUAGACUCUACCCCUUAAGGUUCCCAAGGACAGUGCCUAUAACCAGUUGAACUCCGGAGGAAACUACUUCUUAAUCACAGUACUGAGAGAUAUUCUUGUUUAUGCCUCCCUUAAAAGUAACAACAGCCAAACUUGAAGCUCAAUUUAUUAAGAAAGCCAGACUAUAUAAAGGUCAGUGGACAUUAUUGAUGAGCCUUCAAAUUCAGACAAUUUAAUUCAGAUAAAAGUUCAACCAAUGGUAAAAGAAGCAAAUACACAUUUAGGUAAAAAAGUGAUAUUAGUGGUAAUUUUUGUAUUUCUAAUUCUUUCUUUUAUUAUUAUUUAUCUAACAGCUAUAGGUAAGACUAACUAUGUUAAAAUGUAGUAUGUACUAUGAAUGUAGUAAUUAGUAUGUAUCACUGAAAAAUUAUUAGUUAAGACAAGAUUGUUCUAGUACUAAAAUUUUUAGACAUUAAUAAGUAAAUCAGGAAAUAGUUAAAACAGGCACUGGUAAAAACAUGAAAUCUGGAGUCACAUAUUCACUACUAUGUACUGUAGAAUUAAUGUAUGAUCUUAUAUUAUUAGAUUUAUCAUCUGAAAAAUACUUGAUACUUUAAAUAUUUAUUAAUUUAUUCUCUCAUAUAUUACAUUCUGAUCCACUCCCUAUCUCCUCUACUUUGCCACGGAUCUCCUUGGGAAGGGAAAAUAGAAUAGAUCUUGGUAGUGGACUGGAGUGGGUGGGCACAGGAACAGGAAGGAUAAGGUGGGGAAAGAAUGAGGGGAAAGAAUACUGGGAGAGGCAAUUGGAAUUGGGAGGGAAUUGAAAGACAAGUUAGAAACCUAGGGCAAUGCAAACUCCAAGAAAUAUAUUAGGGUGGUAUAUUUUCACUUCUCAUCCAUUCUUUCUCCUAUUUCCUU